rnacentral:antisense_RNA from 1 species
AUUGACUUUUAACGUGGUGGCUCUGUGGUGGGAUGUGGGGUUAACCUAACAUCAUUACAAAAUUUACAAAUCAUAGUUAUGGUGGUUUAUUUGGAAAUGUUUUCUGUAGAUGCCCUGUCUCAUUUAUUGUAUAUAAAUUUUUGUUAUGUUUAAUCCCUAGGGUUGGUUUGGCUUGUGACUCUCAUUUUUUAUUUGAAAUAUUUCAAACAUACGUAAAAGAGUGUAUGUCCAGAUGUCAUUUAUCUAGCAAACAUGACUCUGUAGAACAGUAGUUGCCAACUUUAUUUAUUAAUGUAGUAGCAGAACCCUUUUUGCAAAUGGCGUCCUAUGCAGAAGCCCAUUAUAUAAAACAUCUCAGCGCUUCUCUGGUUGAAGCAAAAAGGGAGGGCUUGGAGCCUUCCUAGAUUAAACCCCAUCUUGGCCACCCCUUUCUACACCAUGGUAGCCCCUUGAAUCUGCUCACACAGCCUGAAGGUCUUGUGAGCACAUCUGAAAAGCACAGAUUAAGAACCAGAAAGCAAGCUAAACACAGUGAUCAGAUUAGCCAUAGCAGGUGAUCCAGUGUCCAAAUAGUAAAGCCCAUCUGUUUUCUUCAUAGAGGAGCCUCUGAGAUUUUCAUUCAGAACUCUGGGCUCUUACAUUAGCCACAAUUCUAACAAGCUUUGCAAUCUGGUUUCUCAGUCACAGAAGAAUAGAAGAACAACUCAGAGGAGGAGGAAGUCAGACAUAGCCAGACGCGGCUGCUAGCAGUUCCACCAAUGAAAGAGGAGACCGGGAUGUUUAAAACAGGCAAACACAAGGUGCGAAAAACCAGAAGUGAAAACUUCUGAGGUCAUUUAAGCAGGGACUGUCGUUAUUCCCGGAAGCAGAGAGAAGUUCAGUCCCUUGCCCAACAUCACACUGCAAGCAUGCGUUGGAGCUGAGAUUCAAACCCAGGCAUCCAGGGUCCAGGGCCCAUGCUCUUAACAUAUUCCAUAUCUUAGGAUAAUUUCCCCUAUUUAAACAAUAAAAGUGCAAAAAUCUUGUGGCUAGCCAAAAUUUUCAGUUGUUUGGAAAACUUAUUUAUCCAAUAAGUGGGAAACUCACUUGUCUUCCAACAAUUCUGGAUAAAUGAAAGAAUGAAUUGAACUGAGACUGGAAUCCGGGUCUCCCAGUACUUUGUAGUUCCUAUCCAUAUGGCUUGUCAGGAAGGCCACAGGGACGUUAACUUACUCUGAGUAACCAGAAACAAUCCCACAUCAGACUGUUGGCAGUGGGAGUGGAACACUCAGAGCUGAACAGCAUGCAAGAUGGUUGCAUUUUCAUUUGCAAUGUUGUCAUCUUCCUCAUGGCUCAAGAGGUAUUUUGGAGUUGACAUGAAGCCUACUGUAAUUUUUAGAGGCAUUUUCUUUCUGGCCUGUAUUUACAUAUUGUGGUAGAAGAGUCAGAAGACUUCAAGCUUCAAAAGUGAAUCUUGUUGCGGGUUACAAAAGCACCACCCGGUGGGGUGCAGCUCUCAGCGUGUGUCACCCCAGGCGCUGUGAUUUCCCUGUCUUCAUCCAACUUUGGUUGCUGUUCUUCAUGCUCAGGAAUUCUGCAAUUGCCGUAGCUUUUGCUGUUGUUAUGUCUGUAGGUAUGGACUCAUUUCCACCAUUCUGGAAUGAAACAUUAUUUCAAGGGAAGCUUCUCAUUGUAAAAGGUCCACACAUUCAGAAGGAAACUGGGAGUACAUUUUCUCAUAGGCCUGGAGCAUUAACUGACUAUGCGUCUUUCCCCUCAGCGUUGUCUUCAUGUUGUAAGUGGAUGAGUCAUGGACAACAUUUUCACACACGUACAUGAGGUCCAUCGACCAGUCUUUAGGACAACUAGAAAUCUUUUCUUUCUUUGUUUUAAAAAAGAAGACAAGUCAAGAUACAGCAAAUAAAAAUGCUCAGCACAUUUGCUGAAAUCUUAGCAAAAUCAAA